rnacentral:rRNA from 1 species
AACGAACGCUGGCAGCGUGGAUUAGGCAUGCAAGUCGAACGGGAUCCGGAAGGUAGCAAUACCGGCCGGUGAGAGUGGCGGAAGGGCGAGGAGCACGUGGACAACCUGUCCCGUGGGUGGGGAUACCGUCCCGAAAGGGGCGUUAAUACCGAAUGGGGCCCCGGACCGCAUGGUCCGGCGGCCAAAGGCGGGGACCGCAAGGCCCGCCCCCCCCGGGAGGGGUCCGCGCACCAUCAGCUAGACGGCGGGGUAACGGCCCACCGUGGCUUACGGUUAGCUGGUCUGAGAGGACGACCAGCCGCACUGGGACUGAGACACUGCCCAGCCUCCUACGGGAGGCUGCAGUCGAGGAUCAUUCGCAAUGGGCGAAAGCCUGACGAUGCGACGCUGCGUGGAGGAUGAAGGCCCUCGGGUCGUAAACUCCUGUCAUGGGGGGCGAGGCGGAGGCGGUUAACGGCCGCCCGAGUUGACGGUACCCCAAGAGGAAGCCACGGCUAACUCUGUG